GCGGCUGAGUGACAUGAAAUCGUCCUGGCUCGUCUGGUUUCGACUCCCAGCCCUGGCUAUCGUUGCCUGAAGAGCUGCCAACCAGGCUGGCACAGCUGAUGCUCCUGACUCCUGCACUGAUCCUGUGUCUCCAGCAUGGCCGCCUGUCAGCCUCUGACUUCACUCUUUCCUUUAAGCUGCUAAAACCUGUGCCAGAGCAGCAGGUACAUGUAAUCAGUAACGAUGAGCCAGAAUCAGUGAAGGUCCAGGAUGCAGAAAGGCAUGGAUUAAUGAGGCUCAGAGGGUAAAAGGCAGAGAUGGAUGGAGAAUGCUCAAGACGUACGAUGGAAAAAAAAAAAAAAAGAGAGAGCAGCGGACGGAAGAGACAAUAAAAUGACAAGAAAGAAAAGUGGUGACUUAAAAACAUCAGGAGAUAAGCAUGCAGAAGAGAGGAAAGAAGAGGAGGAGCGAACGGAGGAGGAAAAGGAAGCGAGAGAGACGCAGAGCAGCUUCCUCUGCAGCCAUCCAUCCUCAUGAAGAGGAGCCUGUUGGAAGCUGUCUCAUUAACCGCUGAACACACACAUCCUCCCUUAGGUGCAUCGCUAUAACAAUGAUGAGCAGUGUAUCAUCGUAAUCACUCUCUCUUUCUCACACACACACACACACACACACACACACACACACACACACACACACACCUUCACAGGUGAAAGCUGUGACAGCGGUAACGAGCGAGCUAAUCCUUGUUCUCCAAUUCCCAUGUAGAGAUGUGAAAUCUGUGUGGGAAAUAUUUGUGUGAAAUAAAAUGACAAACUUUCUCCAUCUGUUAACAGCAUGAUGAGCCAGUCUGAAACCAAGAAAAUGCAUUCCUCAUGUUUACUCGUGACCUCAUCACAGCAGCUGCGGUGUGUGUGCGUUUGCUCCGAGCAGCUACAGCUUCCUGCUGAGCUGUCAUGAAGACGCUGUGUGGGUAUGACAUGAAGGUAGAGGUGCUCACCUGAUCAAGAAUCUGACAUACGUGUUACUGCUCGACAAGGGAGGCUUUCUGCUGGUGGUGUUAAGAGCUUAAUUGUGCAAAUAAAAUACAU